rnacentral:rRNA from 1 species
CGCGUAGGCGGCUCUAUAAGUCAGAUGUGAAAGCCCUGGGCUUAACCCAGGAAGUGCAUUUGAAACUAUAGGGCUUGAGUAUGGGAGAGGGAAGUGGAAUUCCUGGUGUAGAGGUGAAAUUCGUAGAUAUCAGGAGGAACACCGGUGGCGAAGGCGACUUCCUGGACCAAUACUGACGCUGAGGCGCAAAGGCGUGGGGAGCAAACAGGAUUAGAUACCCUGGUAGUC